AUGCUCACUUGGGCAGCACAUCUACUAAAAUUGGAACAAUGCAGAAAAGAUUAGUAUGGCUCCUGUGUGAGGAUGACACACAAAUUCGUGGAGCCUUCCAUAUUUUU
rnacentral:snRNA from 1 species